CAACCGUCCUGCGGGAGCUCGGAGAAACCGGGCUGAGAGGACCCCUUGCUUCUGGCUGUGGGGUUGACCGUUGAACCUGUCCGGGUAAUGCCGACGAAGGGAACACUGCAACGCGAGGA
rnacentral:ncRNA from 25 species